UACGUAGGGCGCAAGCGUUGUCCGGAAUUAUUGGGCGUAAAGAGCUCGUAGGCGGUCUGUCGCGUCUGCCGUGAAAACCCGAGGCUUAACCUCGGGCCUGCGGUGGAUACGGGCAGACUAGAGGUAGGUAGGGGAGAAUGGAAUUCCCGGUGUAGCGGUGAAAUGCGCAGAUAUCGGGAGGAACACCGGUGGCGAAGGCGGUUCUCUGGGCCUUACCUGACGCUGAGGAGCGAAAGCGUGGGGAGCGAACAGG
rnacentral:rRNA from 1 species